rnacentral:lncRNA from 1 species
CAAUUCGUUGGUUAUUAUCCAGAGAAGCUCUCAGGAGCAAUAAUGCUCUUGGUCGCAACUCUGAAAACCAGGGCAGCAGGCUGAGGAGCAGCCUCCACCGGUCAUGGCAAUGUUCCCAGAUCCAUGGAGCUCCAGGAGGUAGCAGGGCAAUGGGUUUCCUACCGUGUGACCCCGGGGUGAGGAGCCAGUUGGUGAGGUCCCGCACAGUGAGUUGAACAAGUGCAGUCUCCAGUAUGAUGGAAGUUCUUGGUGAAAGACAGCGGCCGCACUUUAUCAACAAGGGCGUGGCUGCCAGAUGGUGGCUCAGUCCCCGGGUUCCAUGAUGCUCCAGAACACAGAAACCUUGGCUCUGUGGUCCUGGGUGGUGGGGAAUGGAGUGGAGGUCCUGGAAAAGGAGUUGACAGAGCGAACUGAAUCUCUUAUGCACAGAAAGGAAGAAGAGCAUUGCAGAACAGUUAGGAGAAGACCAACAUAGAGAAGACUGGGAAAUAACAGCCCCUAGUAGUUUCACAGUGGAGAACACUCUUUCCCUCACUCCUAUGUUGACAUAUAAAGUUCAUAAUGAUGGAGGUGAUUGCCUGCUGUGUUUCCUGGUCCUACCUCACCCAGGGUACUGAGUUCAUCUGGACGUCACAGUAUGAGUCUUUCUAGAAGACACAACUUGCUUUCCCUUUGGGACACCAACUCUUUUCCCACCUAAGGCCUUGUGCUUGCAGUGAAAUUGUCUUUAUUCUUUACUCCUGACCAGACAGCACGUUGCACUCCUUUGGUGACAGUGCUUGGCUCAGGGGAAAGCGUGUGACACCUUCAGAGCUGUUAACGUGCGAUGAGACUUUUUCUGAGAUUUCUGAAACAUUGCCACUCUUCUCUACUAGACUGGAGAUUGUUAGAAGGGAAGGCUGGAUUCCUCAACCAUCUUGCUAUCCUGAGGAAAAAGCCUGCCUGAGUUUCUUUCUUAAAGAAAUGGAGCUGGGAGAUGAGAGGCAGUGAAUUCAGAUUCUGGGAAUCUUCCGGGAGCUCCUAUUUCAAACCACGCCCUUAAUGAAACUUACUCUGGAGGUUUAAUUAUGUGAGCCAAAAAAAAAUCUCCUUUUUGCUCAAGCUAACUUAAACUGGGUUUUCUGUCACAUGUAACCACAAUUGUUUUUACUGAUUCAAUUUAAGAGAGACAUUGGUAAAUUAAAUAAGCCCAGAGAAGAAUUGCCACAGGGGUGAAUGUGACCGGAACUGUGUCAAAGGGGUAGAAACUGGAGAAAGUAUGGCUUGAAGAAAGAAGAGCUGGUGUGUAUGUGUUCCAGGAGAAGAAGAAUGUUAAAGGUAUGGAAGAGGAUACCAAAGAAAGAGAAAUACUUCAAAUAUUUCAUUAGAAUUCAUGAUAGGAAGCUCCUGGGAAACAAAUUUCAAUUUUAAAACUGUAACAAUUUAAGGUGUCUGAAAAUGGGCUGAAUUGGCCUGUAAUGUUUGCUGUGUCUAGAAGGGUUUUUAAUAACUGAUCGGAGAUAUUGUAGAGCGAAUUCAAGCUGCCCAGUGGAUGGUGUCUUCUGGACUUCACUCAUUGAACGUCAUCUUCACAAUUUUUGCCAUGCGGGAAAGGGGAAACUUGUACCAUCUUUUGCUCAAUAUUUUCUUUGCAUCAAUUUCCUUUUUUGUCCAAAUAAGUUUAUUUUUAAAUGAAACUAAAUCGCUACUAUAAAUGGGAAAUAAGAAUCAGUGGCCAAAAAUAAAUAUAAUAAAACAAAACA